rnacentral:rRNA from 1 species
UGCGUAGGUGGGCUAGUAAGUCAGUGGUGAAAUCUCCGGGCUUAACCCGGAAACUGCCAUUGAUACUAUUAGUCUUGAAUGUUGUGGAGGUAAGCGGAAUAUGUCAUGUAGCGGUGAAAUGCUUAGAUAUGACAUAGAACACCGAUAGCGUAGGCAGCUUACUACACAAAUAUUGACACUGAGGACAAAGCGUGGGGAUCAAACA